rnacentral:rRNA from 1 species
GGUUAAGCGACUAAGCGUACACGGUGGAUGCCCUGGCAGUCAGAGGCGAUGAAGGGCGUGCUAAUCUGCGAUAAGCGCCGGUAAGGUGAUAUGAACCGUUAUAACCGGCGAUACCCGAAUGGGGAAACCCAGUGUGAUUCGUCACACUAUCAUUAACUGAAUCCAUAGGUUAAUGAGGCGAACCGGGGGAACUGAAACAUCUAAGUACCCCGAGGAAAAGAAAUCAACCGAGAUUCCCCCAGUAGCGGCGAGCGAACGGGGAGGAGCCCAGAGCCUGAAUCAGCAUGUGUGUUAGUGGAAGCGUCUGGAAAGGCGCGCGAUACAGGGUGACAGCCCCGUACACAAAAGCGCAUGUGCUGUGAGCUCGAUGAGUAGGGCGGGACACGUGGUAUCCUGUCUGAAUAUGGGGGGACCAUCCUCCAAGGCUAAAUACUCCUGACUGACCGAUAGUGAACCAGUACCGUGAGGGAAAGGCGAAAAGAACCCCGGCGAGGGGAGUGAAAAAGAACCUGAAACCGUGUACGUACAAGCAGUGGGAGCCCCACCACUAAGCCAGUGGUGAACUCCACAUACGCAUCCUUUGCUGAAGGCAAUGGUUAACGGAGCGAAAGCGACGUUCAACCGCAAAACAAGCAGAGGGGGCUUAGUGGUGGGGUGACUGCGUACCUUUUGUAUAAUGGGUCAGCGACUUAUAUUCUGUAGCAAGGUUAACCGUAUAGGGGAGCCGGAGGGAAACCGAGUCUUAAUUGGGCGUUAAGUUGCAGGGUAUAGACCCGAAACCCGGUGAUCUAGCCAUGGGCAGGUUGAAGGUUGGGUAACACUAACUGGAGGACCGAACCGACUAAUGUUGAAAAAUUAGCGGAUGACCUGUGGCUGGGGGUGAAAGGCCAAUCAAACCGGGAGAUAGCUGGUUCUCCCCGAAAGCUAUUUAGGUAGCGCCUCGUGAAUUCAUCUCCGGGGGUAGAGCACUGUUUCGGCUAGGGGGCCAUCCCGGCUUACCAACCCGAUGCAAACUGCGAAUACCGGAGAAUGUUAUCACGGGAGACACACGGCGGGUGCUAACGUCCGUCGUGAAGAGGGAAACAACCCAGACCGCCAGCUAAGGUCCCAAAGUCAUGGUUAAGUGGGAAACGAUGUGGGAAGGCCCAGACAGCCAGGAUGUUGGCUUAGAAGCAGCCAUCAUUUAAAGAAAGCGUAAUAGCUCACUGGUCGAGUCGGCCUGCGCGGAAGAUGUAACGGGGCUAAACCAUGCACCGAAGCUGCGGCAGCGAACGUAUCACUUAAAGCGAUUCAGCGGGUUACGAUUGACGGAGCGAAGCGACGUCAAAGCGUAUACAAAGUCGAGUCGGUUUAAGGAUACGUUCGUUGGGUAGGGGAGCGUUCUGUAAGCCUGCGAAGGUGGCCUGUGAGGGUUGCUGGAGGUAUCAGAAGUGCGAAUGCUGACAUAAGUAACGAUAAAGCGGGUGAAAAGCCCGCUCGCCGGAAGACCAAGGGUUCCUGUCCAACGUUAAUCGGGGCAGGGUGAGUCGACCCCUAAGGCGAGGCCGAAAGGCGUAGUCGAUGGGAAACGGGUUAAUAUUCCCGUACUUGGUGUUACUGCGAAGGGGGGACGGAGAAGGCUAUGUUGGCCGGGCGACGGUUGUCCCGGUUUAAGCGUGUAGGCUGGUUUUCCAGGCAAAUCCGGAAAAUCAAGGCUGAGGCGUGACGACGAGGCACUACGGUGCUGAAGCAACAAAUGCCCUGCUUCCAGGAAAAGCCUCUAAGCAUCAGGUAA